rnacentral:antisense_RNA from 1 species
CUUUAUGGCAGCUGUACGUGGGAGAUCUUCGGGUCUGCCGGGUUUCCUGGAUCACCGGUUCGCCAACCCGCGUACAGCGGCCACCUGU